rnacentral:ncRNA from 2 species
GCUACAUAUAGGGGUCAUGGUUCCACUGUUUCGCAAGAUUUAGUGGCUAAGAGGGAAGCCGGUGAACUGCGUUCCGACGCGGAAUUCCGGCGCUGCCCCCGCAACUGUCAGCAGCGAGCUGCUUCCGAACAUCGUCACUGAGGUCAUUAAAGGCCUCGGGAAGGCGGGAAGCAUGCGACGACCUGCGAGCCAGGAGACCUGCCGCGACGACCUGAACGUC